UACGUAGGGUGUAGGCGUUAAUCGGAAUUACUGGGCGUAAAGCGUGCGCAGGCGGUUUCUUAAGUCAGAUGUGAAAGCCCCGGGCUUAACCUGGGAACUGCGUUUGAAACUGGAAGACUGGAGUACAGGAGAGGAAAGUGGAAUUCCACGUGUAGCGGUGAAAUGCGUAGAGAUGUGGAGGAACACCAGUGGCGAAGGCGACUUUCUGGCCUGAAACUGACGCUGAGGCGCGAAAGCGUGGGGAGCAAACAGG
rnacentral:rRNA from 1 species